CUGAAUUAGAACAUAUCUGAGGUUAUUAUUACGUACCUGUGCCUAGCAUCAGGUAAAGUUUGUGUCAUUGAGUGUAAAAAGCAACAGCUUUUUUUGCUACAGCAGGUCCCAGUCACAGCCAGAGUCGAAAGACUGGUGUCUCUCAUAUCAGGGCUCCUGAAACCAGUGCGGAAAUGACCAGUGACUUUCCUUCCGUUACUGCAGAGUCCUUCCUUCAAGAGCUUAAAAGCUCACUGUUUGAGGAAAUACAUGAGGAUGAAACGGUACUUCAAGCCUCAACAGACUGGUCGACCCGAAAGAGCCUCAUAUCAGGGUGGUGGGAGAAAGAGAGACCCCGACUGGUCAACACCAUGGUGGCUGGACAACAUGCGGCAACUCGGAUCUGCCAACAUUGUGGAAAUGGUCCAGCCGUAAUCCGUUGUUGUGACUGCCGACCACACCCAUUCCUCUGUGGCCAGUGUGAUGUCAGGGUCCACCGAGGUCAAGUGUUCCACAACAGGGAUUCGAUGACACAUGCAUUCUUUCAUCCAUUGCCUCCCACAACUUGUGUUGUGGAGAGGGUUCUAACCCAGUGUGAGCGUCUUGUACCUUUGGAGAUGCCAGAGACAAUAUGCGGUUGUCUACGAGUAUCGUCCAGUGUCAUCGCAGGACAGUCCAUAGUUGUGGUUACAAUGAAUGGUAAGAAGAACUUUAUGGGUUUGGGUGGGGGUCACUUCUGUAGAAGUGUCUGCUGAAUCUCACCCACAGCUAUUUGCUGAUCACACCUCGUAUAUACUCCCUCUCACUUUUUGUCACAAUUAUGCACAUAUACGUAUCAUGUUAAAUUCAUACAUGUUACAUUGUGCAAGAAAUAUUCUUUAUCAUGGCUGGAAAUCCAGAGGUGUCAAUAGGUUGUGUGUUGAUUAGAUUGGC
ensembl:lncRNA